UGCAAGUCGAACGGCAGCACGGGUGCUUGCACCUGGUGGCGAGUGGCGAACGGGUGAGUAAUACAUCGGAACAUGUCCUGUAGUGGGGGAUAGCCCGGCGAAAGCCGGAUUAAUACCGCAUACGAUCCACGGAUGAAAGCGGGGGACCUUCGGGCCUCGCGCUAUAGGGUUGGCCGAUGGCUGAUUAGCUAGUUGGUGGGGUAAAGGCCUACCAAGGCGACGAUCAGUAGCUGGUCUGAGAGGACGACCAGCCACACUGGGACUGAGACACGGCCCAGACUCCUACGGGAGGCAGCAGUGGGGAAUUUUGGACAAUGGGCGAAAGCCUGAUCCAGCAAUGCCGCGUGUGUGAAGAAGGCCUUCGGGUUGUAAAGCACUUUUGUCCGGAAAGAAAUCCUUGGCUCUAAUACAGUCGGGGGAUGACGGUACCGGAAGAAUAAGCACCGGCUAACUACGUGCCAGCAGCCGCGGUAAUACGUAGGGUGCAAGCGUUAAUCGGAAUUACUGGGCGUAAAGCGUGCGCAGGCGGUUUGCUAAGACCGAUGUGAAAUCCCCGGGCUCAACCUGGGAACUGCAUUGGUGACUGGCAGGCUAGAGUAUGGCAGA
rnacentral:rRNA from 1 species